GUGCCAGCAGCCGCGGUAAAACGUAGGACGCAAACGUUAUCCGGAAUUACUGGGCGUAAAGAGCGUGUAGGCGGGUAAGUAAGUUGUCCGUGAAAGCUCCCGGCUAAACUGGGAGAGGUCGGAUAAGACUGCUUGCCUAGAGGGUGUUAGAGGGAUGCGGAAUUCCGGGUGUAGUGGUGAAAUGCGUAGAGAUCCGGAGGAACACCAGAGGCGAAGGCGGCAUCCUGGGACAUACCUGACGCUGAGACGCGAAAGCAUGGGGAGCGAACGGGAUUAGAUACCCUAGUAGUCC
rnacentral:rRNA from 1 species